CUGGCGGCGUGCCUAAUACAUGCAAGUCGAACGGUCUUUCUAUGGAAGCUUGCUUCCACUGAGAAGAUAGUGGCGAAACGGGUGAGUAACACGUGGGGUAACCUGCCCAUAAGAGGGGGGAGUAACAUCCGGAAACGGGUGCUAAUACCGCAUAGUUUUCUUGAUCGCAUGAUCGGGAAAGGAAAGACGGCCUUUGUGCUGUCGCUUAUGGAUGGACCCGCGGCGUAUUAGUUAGUUGGUGAGGUAACGGCUCACCAAGACGAUGAUACGUAGCCGACCUGAGAGGGUGAUCGGCCACAUUGGGACUGAGACACGGCCCAAACUCCUACGGGAGGCAGCAGUAGGGAAUCUUCCGCAAUGGACGAAAGUCUGACGGAGCAACGCCGCGUGAGUGAAGAAGGUUUUUCCGGGAUCGUAAAACUCUGUUGUCAGAGAAGAACAAGUUGGAGAGUAACUGCUCCAGCCUUGACGGUAUCUGACCAGAAAGCCACGGCUAACUACGUGCCAGCAGCAGC
rnacentral:rRNA from 1 species